GGGCGGCUAGCUCAGCGGGAGAGCAUUCGCUUCACACGCGAAGGGUCACAGGUUCGAUCCCUGUGCCGCCCA
rnacentral:tRNA from 1 species